AUCCAGAGCUGCUGCCUCCCGCUUAGGAUGUAUAAGCACCGGCUAACUACGUGCCAUGCAGCCGCGGUAAUACGUAGGGUGCAAGCGUUAAUCGGAAUUACUGGGCGUAAAGCGUGCGCAAGCGGUUUUAUAAGUCUGAUGUGAAAUCCCCGGGCUCAACCUGGGAACUGCAUUGGAGACUGUAAGGCUAGGGUGUGUCAGAGGGGGGUAGAAUUCCACGUGUACCAGUGAAAUGCGUAGAUAUGUGGAGGAAUACCGAUGGCGAAGGCAGGCCCCUGGGAUAACACUGACGCUCAUGCACGAAAGCGUGGGGAGCAAAGAGGAUUAGAUACCCUGGUAGUCCACGCCCUAAACGAUUGUCAACUAGUAUGUCGGGUCUUAAUUGACUUAGUAACGCAGCUAACGCGUGAAGUUGACCGCCUGGGGAGGUACGGUCGCAAGGAUUAAAACUCAAAGGAAUUGACGGGGACCCGUACAAGCGGUGGAUGAUGUGGAUUAAUUCGAUGCAACGCGAAAAACCUUAC
rnacentral:rRNA from 1 species